UAAUACGAAGGGUGCAAGCGUUAAUCGGAAUUACUGGGCGUAAAGCGUGCGUAGGUGGUUUCUUAAGUCUGCUGUGAAAGCCCUGGGCUCAACCUGGGAAUGGCGGUGGAUACUGAGGAGCUAGAGUGCGGUAGAGGAGGGUGGAAUUCCCGGUGUAGCGGUGAAAUGCGUAGAGAUCGGGAGGAACAUCAGUGGCGAAGGCGGCCCUCUGGACCAGCACUGACGCUGAGGCACGAAAGCGUGGGGAGCAAACAGGAUUAGAUACCCUGGUAGUCCACGCCCUAAACGAUGCGAACUGGACGUUGGGCACAAUUCGGUGCUCAGUGUCGAAGCUAACGCGUUAAGUUCGCCGCCUGGGGAGUACGCUCGCAAGAGUG
rnacentral:rRNA from 1 species